rnacentral:rRNA from 1 species
GAGACAGCAGUCGCCGCGGGAAUACGUAGGUGGCAAGCGUUGUCCGGAAUUAUUGGGCGUAAAGGGCUCGCAGGCGGUUUCUUAAGUCUGAUGUGAAAGCCCCCGGCUCAACCGGGGAGGGUCAUUGGAAACUGGGAAACUUGAGUGCAGAAGAGGAGAGUGGAAUUCCACGUGUAGCGGUGAAAUGCGUAGAGAUGUGGAGGAACACCAGUGGCGAAGGCGACUCUCUGGUCUGUAACUGACGCUGAGGAGCGAAAGCGUGGGGAGCGAACAGGAUUAGAUACCCCGGUAGUCCCUGUCUCUUAUAC